rnacentral:rRNA from 1 species
GACGAAGGGGGCUAGCGUUGUUCGGAAUUACUGGGCGUAAAGCGCGUGUAGGCGGUUUGCCAAGUCGGGUGUGAAAGCCUUGAGCUCAACUCAAGAAAUGCACUCGGUACUGGCAGACUCGAGGAUGGUAGGGGUGAGUGGAACUCCAGGUGGAGCGGUGAAAUGCGUAGAUAUCUGGAGGAACACCGGUGGCGAAAGCGGCUCACUGGACCAUAUCUGACGCUGAGGUGCGGAAGCUAGGGUAGCAAAC